GACGAACGCUGGCGGCGUGCUUAACACAUGCAAGUCGAACGGUGAAGCGCCUUCCUUUUUGGUGGGUGUGGAUGAGUGGCGAACGGGUGAGUAACACGUGAGUAACCUGCCCCCCUCUUCUGGAUAACCGCAUGAAAGUGUGGCUAAUACGGGAUAUUCUGGGUCUGUCGCAUGAUGGGUCUGGGAAAGAUAUUGUUUCGGUGGGGGAUGGGCUCGCGGCCUAUCAGCUUGUUGGUGGGGUGAUGGCCUACCAAGGCGGUGACGGGUAGCCGGCCUGAGAGGGUGGACGGUCACACUGGGACUGAGACACGGCCCAGACUCCUACGGGAGGCAGCAGUGGGGAAUAUUGCACAAUGGGCGCAAGCCUGAUGCAGCGACGCCGCGUGAGGGAUGGAGGCCUUCGGGUUGUGAACCUCUUUCGCCAGUGAAGCAGGCCUGCCUCGUUUGUGGGUGGGUGGACGGUAGCUGGAUAAGAAGCGCCGGCUAACUACGU
rnacentral:rRNA from 1 species